rnacentral:RNase_P_RNA from 1 species
AACGGCGGGUGACGCGGCCGCUCGGUGAGCGAUAUCGGGUAUCUGUCGCGGGCUCUGCCCACGUCGGAUUCCGUCGCGCGCCGAGAGGAAAGUCCGAGCUCCGCUGGACAGGGUGGUCGCUAACGGCGACCGUGGCGCAGCCAAAGUUGCGACACAGGGAAAGUGCCACAGAAAACAUACCGCCCCGCGUUUCGGCGCGUGGUAAGGGUGAAAUGGCGAGGUAAGAGCUCACCGCCUCGGCCCCCGACUUUGUCGGGGGGGCAGCGCCUCCCAGCGCUGCGGCGCCUUUUUUUCACCACGGAGACACGGAGAACACAGAGGAUUCGAACCGAGGCUUCUACAGUCUUCUCUGUGUCCUCUGUGGUGAGAGAACGGCGUUGCAGUAUUGAGGGGCGCUGCCUGGUAACACCGAGGGCAUGGCAAACCCCACCCGGAGAAAGGCCAAAUAGAGGGGCGAUCCCGCACCGGCUGCGGUCUUUGGUUGCGGGUCGCAGGUUGGAGGUCGCAUGUCUCGGAGACUGCCGCAACCUGCAACCUGCAACUCGAAACCGAAGCCGGUGCGGGAUUAGGCCGGUCCGGCCGAUUGCCCCAGGGUAGGCCGUUGGACCCCGCCCGCAAGGUCGGGGCUAGAUGAAUGGCCGCGCCCCGCACCCGUUUUCAGAGGACAGCCGACUGGCGCUUUGGAGCGUCAAAGCUGCAGCUUUGACCUUCAAUGUCAAAUUUCGCCAGCCCGCCGAUCCGGCGGACGCUGUCCUGUGAAAGCGGGUGCGGGGAACAGAACUCGGCUUACGGCCCGCCGUUCUCA